CAAUAGCGUAUAUUAAUGUUGUUGCAGUUAAAAAGCUCGUAGUUGGAUUUCGAAUGGGAGCGGUGGGUCGGGUCCGCAAGGGCUCGUUACCUGUUUCGUCUCCGGUUCUUUUUCGGGAUUUGUUUCUGGCGUGGCUGGCAUUGAGUUGUCGGUGGCGUCGGGCCCGUCGUUUACUGUGAACAAAUUAGAGUGUUCAAAGCAAGGUGUGUCUUGAAUACAUUAGCAUGGAAUAAUGAGAUAGGACUUUGGUGGUUUCGGUGAAAGCCGGAUAUUUUGUUGGUUUGCACGCCAAAGUAAUGAUUAAUAGGAGCAGUUGGGGGUAUUCGUAUUCAAUUGUCAGAGGUGAAAUUCUUGGAUUUCUAGAAGACGAACUACUGCGAAAGCAUUUACCAGGGAUGUUUNCAUUA
rnacentral:rRNA from 1 species